rnacentral:lncRNA from 1 species
AGGGUGCAAUGCAGAAGGUCAGGGUUCUUUUGUUUUUUUUUUUUUCCAUUUUAAUAAUGAUGUCCAGAGAUGCUGUAAAACAAUAAGAAUGCUUAUAGAGUUCUUUGUGCUUGUUGCCAAGAGACUAGAACUUCAACCUACUCAACUGUAAAAUACAUUCUUUAGCACACAGCUUAGCCUAUCCAAUCCCAAGGCAUAAUGCCAUGAAUACGAAUCCCUCUUUGUCCUCAGUCUAUUUGCCUUCCUGGGGCCCACAGAUGCCCUUCUAAUGGCAGCCCUCCAGAUUGCACCUCUUCUAAGUGCCCACUGCUUGGGAAACCAGGAAUUAUUAGCCUGCUUUACUGUAUGUACCUCGCAACCUAAUUAAAAUCUACACCUUCAAUGUUUCAUUGCAGGAAGCACUAUUGCAAGAAUGACUAUCUGUUCUAACAAGCUCAACUCGGUGAAGAACAGAUAUAAUCAGUUCCUGCAUUUUUUAUUUCUGAUGACCCUGGAUAGAAUGCGCAUAGAAGUUUUCCUGAUAACACUCUGUGUCCAGCAGAGUUAGUACUAAAGAUGAAACUUGUUUGUCAUUCCUACUCUAAAAAUUAAAGAGAAGAUUUUAAUUUAUGCUUAAUUGUUGUAUUCCUUCAAUUUUACUUCAAAUAGAAUAACUUCUGGAGCUAUCGAUGAAAAUAAGCAAAUAUUUAGCCCACAUUUACUCUUUUAAUAGAGAGUUCUAUUUUUCCAGAAAAGCAAUUUAAGAAUUGGAUCAGUUUUUGUUUUGUUUUGCUUUGUUUUUAAUAACCUUUAUUUUUUAGAGCAGCUUUUGUUUCCCAGCAAAACUGAGCAGAAAGUAGAAAGAUUUCCCAUAUACCCUAGCCUCACACAACCUCCCCCAUUAUGAACAUCCUGCACCACACUGGUACAUUGCUUAAAAUAAUGAAUAUAACCUCUCUCAAAAAAAAAAAAAAAAAAAAAAAAAGGAAGGAGGGGCACCUGAGUGGCUCAGUCAGUUAAGGUUCUGCCUUGAUUUUAGCUCAGAUCAUGAUCUCAUAGUCAUGAGAUCAAGCCCUGCAUCAGACUGAACAUGGAGCCUGCUUAAGAUUCUCUCUCUUUCACCCAAAACCAGCAGAACACAGGUAAUAAAGAUUAGAGCAUAAAUUAAUGCUAUCGAAAC